UUAAGUUAAUAAGGGCGCACGGUGGAUGCCUUGGCACUAGAAGCCGAUGAAGGACGUGACUAACGACGAAAUGCUUUGGGGAGCUGUAAGUGAGCAAUGAUCCAGAGAUGUCCGAAUGGGGGAACCCGGCAGGUAAUGCCUGUCACUCAUUACUGUUAAGGUAAUGUAGAGGAAGACGCAGUGAACUGAAACAUCUAAGUAGCUGUAGGAAGAGAAAGCAAAAGCGAUUGCCUUAGUAGCGGCGAGCGAAACGGCAAGAGGGCAAACCGAAGAGUUUACUCUUCGGGGUUGUAGGACUGCAACGUGGACUUAAAGAUUAUAGAAGAACUACCUGGGAAGGUAGGCCAAAGAGAGUAAUAGCCUCGUAUUCGAAAUAGUCUUUAUACCUAGCAGUAUCCUGAGUACGGCGAGACACGAGAAAUCUCGUCGGAAUCUGGGAGGACCAUCUCCCAACCCUAAAUACUCUCUAGUGACCGAUAGUGAACCAGUACCGUGAGGGAAAGGUGAAAAGCACCCCGGGAGGGGAGUGAAAUAGAACCUGAAACCGUGUGCCUACAACAAGUUCGAGCCCGUUAAUGGGUGAGAGCGUGCCUUUUGUAGAAUGAACCGGCGAGUUACGAUAUGAUGCGAGGUUAAGUUGAAGAGACGGAGCCGUAGGGAAACCGAGUCUUAAUAGGGCGCAUUAGUAUCAUGUCGUAGACCCGAAACCAUGUGACCUACCCAUGAGCAGGUUGAAGGUGAGGUAAAACUCACUGGAGGACCGAACCAGGGCACGUUGAAAAGUGCUUGGAUGACUUGUGGGUAGCGGAGAAAUUCCAAACGAACUUGGAGAUAGCUGGUUCUCUCCGAAAUAGCUUUAGGGCUAGCGUCGAUGUUAAGUCUCUUGGAGGUAGAGCACUGUUUGGGUGAGGGGUCCAUCCCGGAUUACCAAUCUCAGAUAAACUCCGAAUGCCAAUGAGAUAUAAUCGGCAGUCAGACUGCGAGUGCUAAGAUCCGUAGUCGAAAGGGAAACAGCCCAGACCACCAGCUAAGGUCCCAAAAUAUAUGUUAAGUGGAAAAGGAUGUGGGGUUGCACAGACAACUAGGAUGUUAGCUUAGAAGCAGCUAUUCAUUCAAAGAGUGCGUAAUAGCUCACUAGUCGAGUGACCCUGCGCCGAAAAUGUACCGGGGCUAAAACAUAUUACCGAAGCUGUGGAUACCUUUAUAGGUAUGGUAGGAGAGCGUUCUAUGUGCGAAGAAGGUGUACCGUGAGGAGUGCUGGAGCGCAUAGAAGUGAGAAUGCCGGUAUGAGUAGCGAAAGACAGGUGAGAAUCCUGUCCACCGUAAGACUAAGGUUUCCAGGGGAAGGCUCGUCCGCCCUGGGUUAGUCGGGACCUAAGGAGAGACCGAAAGGUGUAUCCGAUGGACAACAGGUUGAUAUUCCUGUACUAGAGUAUAUAGUGAUGGAGGGACGCAGUAGGCUAACUAAACCAGACGAUUGGAAGUGUCUGGCCAAGCAGUGAGGUGUGAUAUGAGUCAAAUGCUUAUAUCUUUAACAUUGAGCUGUGAUGGGGAGCGAAGUUUAGUAGCGAAGUUAGUGAUGUCACACUGCCGAGAAAAGCUUCUAGCGUUAAUUAUACUCUACCCGUACCGCAAACCGACACAGGUAGUCGAGGCGAGUAGCCUCAGGUGAGCGAGAGAACUCUCGUUAAGGAACUCGGCAAAAUGGCCCCGUAACUUCGGGAGAAGGGGCGCUGACUGAUGGUCAGCCGCAGUGAAUAGGCCCAAGCAACUGUUUAUCAAAAACACAGCUCUCUGCUAAAUCGUAAGAUGAUGUAUAGGGGGUGACGCCUGCCCGGUGCUGGAAGGUUAAGAGGAGUGCUUAGCGUAAGCGAAGGCAUGAAUUGAAGCCCCAGUAAACGGCGGCCGUAACUAUAACGGUCCUAAGGUAGCGAAAUUCCUUGUCGGGUAAGUUCCGACCCGCACGAAAGGCGUAAUGAUUUGGGCACUGUCUCAACGAGAGACUCGGUGAAAUUUUAGUACCUGUGAAGAUGCAGGUUACCCGCGACAGGACGGAAAGACCCCAUGGAGCUUUACUGCAGUUUGAUAUUGAGUAUCUGUACCACAUGUACAGGAUAGGUAGGAGCCUAUGACCUCGGGACGCCAGUUUCGAGUGAGGCGUUGUUGGGAUACUACCCUUGUGUUAUGGCUACUCUAACCCAGAUAGGUUAUCCCUAUCGGAGACAGUGUCUGACGGGCAGUUUGACUGGGGCGGUCGCCUCCUAAAAGGUAACGGAGGCGCCCAAAGGUUCCCUCAGAAUGGUUGGAAAUCAUUCGCAGAGUGUAAAGGUAUAAGGGAGCUUGACUGCGAGAGCUACAACUCGAGCAGGGACGAAAGUCGGGCUUAGUGAUCCGGUGGUUCCGUAUGGAAGGGCCAUCGCUCAACGGAUAAAAGCUACCCUGGGGAUAACAGGCUUAUCUCCCCCAAGAGUUCACAUCGACGGGGAGGUUUGGCACCUCGAUGUCGGCUCGUCGCAUCCUGGGGCUGAAGCAGGUCCCAAGGGUUUGGCUGUUCGCCAAUUAAAGCGGCACGCGAGCUGGGUUCAGAACGUCGUGAGACAGUUCGGUCCCUAUCCGUCGCGGGCGUAGGAAAUUUGAGAGGAUCUGCUCCUAGUACGAGAGGACCAGAGUGGACUUACCGCUGGUGUACCAGUUGUUCUGCCAAGAGCAUCGCUGGGUAGCUAUGUAGGGAAGGGAUAAACGCUGAAAGCAUCUAAGUGUGAAGCCCACCUCAAGAUGAGAUUUCCCAUGAUUUUAUAUCAGUAAGAGCCCUGAGAGAUGAUCAGGUUGAUAGGUUAGAAGUGGAAGUGUGGUGACACAUGUAGCGGACUAAUACUAAUAGCUCGAGGACUUAUCCAA
rnacentral:rRNA from 1 species